CGGACACUGGAGCGUGCGUCGAGCAUUCUCAUCCCGGAGACCUUACGUUUCUGAUAGGGAGCUGUCCCUGCCCUUGGCCGUGGCCUCGGGCACACGGCGCCCACCUGGUAAUCCAGGUCAUCGGGGAUGUUCAGAUGCUGACGGCGCAAUCGGUUCCGC
rnacentral:other from 1 species